rnacentral:rRNA from 1 species
GACGUAGGGGGCCAGCGUUGCUCGGAAUUACUGGGCGUAAAGGGUUCGUAGGCGGUGCGGCAAGUCGGGAGUGAAAUCCCUGGGCUUAACUCAGAGGCUGCUUCCGAAACUGGCGUGCUAGAGUGCGGGAUAGGCGAGUGGAAUUGCAGGUGUAGCGGUGAAAUGCAUAGAUAUGUCACAGAACACCGAUUGCGAAGGCAGCUUGCUAUGGUAGUAUUGACGCUGAGGCACGAAAGCGUGGGGAUCAAACAGG